rnacentral:snoRNA from 1 species
GCUGGUCCUUAUCAAAGAUGCAGCUGCUUCCACGUAGCAGCUGUGAUCAAAGAGAGACAGAGGGGAAGGGGCAGCAGAAGGAAAAGU